rnacentral:ncRNA from 1 species
AUCUUCGGGGUCGGGUGAAAUUCCCUACCGGCGGUAAAAGUCCGCGAACCGCUUCGGCGGCCGAUUCGGUGCAAUUCCGAGACCGACAGUAAAGUCUGGAUGAUAGAAGAUG